rnacentral:misc_RNA from 1 species
GAUGAAGAACGCAGCGAAAUGCGAUAAGUAAUGUGAAUUGCAGAUCUCAGUGAAUCCAUCGAAUCUUUGAACGCACCUUGCACCCCUUGGUAUUCCGAGGGGCAUGCCUGUUUGAGUGUCAUUAAAUUCUCAACUUCAAUUCAAGUGCAUUUCACUUGCUUUGAAGCUUGGACUUGGAGCGUGCUGGCAUGUCCAAUUGGAAGUCAGCUCCUCUCUAAAUGCAUUAGCGAAACCCUCUCUUUGCGUUUCUGCAUUGGUGUGAUAGAUUUAUCAACGCCAUUGAUGUGAAGGCAAGAAAUUUGUAUGGUAACAUAUGAAGGGGAUCUUUGCUUCCAAUCCAGUCUUUGUUUCUCUUUUUCAAGAGGGCAAGACUUUUGUUUGACAAUUUGACCUCAAAUCAGGUAGGACUACCCGCUGAACUUAAGCAUAUCAAUAAGCGGAGGA